rnacentral:rRNA from 1 species
AGUGAACGCUGGCGGUAGGCCUAACACAUGCAAGUCGAACGGCAGCACAGUAAGAGCUUGCUCUUACGGGUGGCGAGUGGCGGACGGGUGAGGAAUACAUCGGAAUCUACUUUUUCGUGGGGGUUAACGUAGGGAAACUUACGCUAAUACCGCAUACGACCUACGGGUGAAAGCAGGGGAUCUUCGGACCUUGCGCGAUUGAAUGAGCCGCUGUCGGAUUAGCUAGUUGGCGGGGUAAAGGCCUACCAAGGCGACGAUCCGUAGCUGGUCGGAGAGGAUGAUCGGCGACACUGGAACUGAGACACGGUCCAGACGCCUAAGGGAGGCAGCAGUGGGGAAUAUUGGACAAUGGGCGCAAGCAUGAUCCAGCCAUACCGCGUGGGUGAAGAAGACGUUCGGGUUGGAAAGACCUUUUGUUGGGAAAGAAAAGCAGCAGGUUAAGACCCCGCUGUUCUGACGGUACCCAAAGAAGAAGCACCGGCUAACUUCGUG